CUGAUGGAUACAGACGAGGGGAGAGAGAGGGAAGUUCAUGAAACAGACUCACCACCAGGUUCUUCUUAAAACAUAAAUAAGCAGUUGAGUCACAAAAACCUCUCGUCUUACCUGCCCAGAGGGCCGUGAGGGCCGUAAAGGCUGCAGCUGUGACUGAAAAAGUUGUGAUACCAAAGUCAUCGUUAUGUGUAAUUAUAAAACUAAAACACUCCCUAUCUAAGAAAUGUAUUAAGAAAUGUCUAAGGAUUGUCAAAGGUGUAGUUAAAUACUUACGAAGACCCAUUUUCUUAGGAUUUAUCUCUUGCUCUUUCUGAGCAGUAGUAGUAGCAAGGGUGUUGAGGGUGGAGGGAGGGAGCAAUGUGAGCAGCAGUAGCAGCUCUGAGCCUUAUAUACAGCAGGGGAGCAGCAGAGAGUUAUUUCUUGAGAAACUAAACUUUGUCUCCAAGCACUAGUUUUCAUUACAUACACAUAAACUCAACUAAUUAACUCUCUUGAGCUCACGGCCAGCCUUUCUUUCAAACAGGUUUGUCCUAGCUCUUUAUGUUCUGUUUCCUUGUUGACUUUAUCUAAUUGAUUUGCUUUGUUUAUCAAUGCUUACCUUCCUACAUUAGUACAGUAUGUGCUACUACGUGCUACCUUUCAAUUAUUGCAUGGCUCUCUACCCUAGAGAGCCUACCCUAAAGUACCUAAAGGGGACACUUGAGUAAAAGUACAAGUAUCUGACACCAUUUUCUGAUAUAACAUCAUCAUUUAAAGUCAUCAUGUUUUAGGACCCAGGGAUUUGAUCAUAUAUCUGCUUUGGAUACGAAGUACAAUGUACAAGAACAUACCAUAAAAAAUAACAAAGGCAAAAAAAGAGGGCUCAGGGUUGAAUUCUUAAAAUAGUGCUUUAGUUUUCACAGCAUUUAGUGUCCAGGAAGGAUUGGAAGUUGGGAAAAUGUUUAGAUUAAGUUUCUGAUUCAUGAAUUUGCUGGCAUAUUGUCAUAGUGUCAAAGGUACGGAGAUGGUUUCUGAACUACACGAGUUUCGCUUUCCUUCUUGUGCUCACCAGCUCCAUCAGAUGCAGAGUUACUCUCUGGCGCCAUCUUGUGCUGACAUUGGGACCUAGUUUCGUUUCUGAAGAAACAAACACAGCUGUUGUGGACCGCAGAUAAAAAGGCAGCCUCCUCCUGCUGAGAAGAAAACACGUCCCAACAUGGAGAAUGUCAUUUACAUUGCAGCAGGAGCAGGAGCUGCGGCAGGUGCUGUGGCCCUGGCUCCUGUCAUUGCAGUAGCUGCAGGUUUCACUGCAGGUGCAGCUGGUGUGUCCGCAGCCACCAGUGCAGCGGUGACCGGUGCUGGAGCAGCAGUUGGAUUAUUAACAAAACUUUUUACCUGAAGAUGUUUAAGGACUCCUAUAUUUACUGGUGUUUAACAACGAUUCAAUAAAAUGCACCUCAAAG